rnacentral:rRNA from 1 species
UUCAGAGGUCUCAAGCGUUGUUCGGAUUCAUUGGGCGUAAAGGGCUCGUAGGCGGCCAACUAAGUCGGAUGUGAAAUCCCCAGGCUCAACCUGGGAACUGCAUCCGAUACUGGAUGGCUUGAAUUCGGGAGAGGGAUGCAGAAUUCCAGGUGUAGCGGUGAAAUGCGUAGAUAUCUGGAGGAAUACCGGUGGCGAAGGCGGCAUCCUGGACCGACAUUGACGCUGAGGAGCGAAAGCCAGGGGAGCAAACGGG